AUAAAUAGUAUACAGUGAAACUGCGAAUGGCUCAUUAAAACAGUUAUAGUUUAUUUGAUAAUUGAAUUAUACAUGGAUAACCGUGGUAAUUCUAGAGCUAAUACAUGCAGUAAAACCUGACUUUUUGGAAAGGUUGUAUUUAUUAGAUAUCAAACCAAUAUUCCUUCGGGUCUAUUGUGAUGAUUCAUAAUAACUGAUCGAAGCUUAGCUCGGCUAAGCUAAAUCAUUCAAGUUUCUGCCCUAUCAGCUUUCGAUGGUAGUGUAUUGGACUACCAUGGCAGUCACGGGUAACGGGGAAUUAGGGUUCGAUUCCGGAGAGGGAGCCUGAGAAACGGCUACCACAUCUAAGGAAGGCAGCAGGCGCGUAAAUUACCCAAUCCUGACUCAGGGAGGUAGUGACAAGAAAUAACAACUCGGGGCCUCACGGCUUACGAGAUUGCAAUGAGAACAAUUUAAACCACUUAUCUAGGAACAAUUGGAGGGCAAGUCUGGUGCCAGCAGCCGCGGUAAUUCCAGCUCCAAUAGCGUAUAUUAAUGUUGUUGCAGUUAAAAAGCUCGUAGUUGAAUUUCUGGUUAAUAUAUUAGCUGGCUUUGGUCGUUAAUGUCUUAAUCAUCCGUUAGAGAACUAUAACCGUCCUUAACUGGUCAUUAUAGAGAUCUAACAUUUUACUUUGAAAAAAUUAGAGUGUUCAAGGCAGGCAAUCGUCAUGAAUACUAUAGCAUGGAAUAAUGGAAUAGGACUUUGGUUCAUUUUAUUGGUUAUUGAACCUUAGUAAUGAUUAACAGGGACAGUUGGGGGCAUUAGUAUUUAAUUGUCAG
rnacentral:rRNA from 1 species